ACAAAGAUCGUCCAGGGACCUCAGGA
rnacentral:piRNA from 1 species